UGUCACCCAGCACUAGUGUUUUUUUCUGCACACUAGUAUUGCUCAUUUUUCACCCUUGGUGACAUUUUGGGUUUUUUAGCUCCACGCUUUUUUAGCUUGCAGUUUUUGUUUUUUUGUCCUGCCGUUUUAUUUAUUAAAAGCUUUAUCCUACCUGCACGCUGCUCCAGCUUGUUUUCUGUGUUGGAGGGAACUCGAGACGUAACAGAAAGAUAUUUUUCUUUCAACCAACUGGACCUGAUACAGAUCAAUGGCAGUACUUUGGCUGCGAUGAAGCGGUUCACUGGCCCUUACUAAAAAUAUGUGGACUAUUGCUGACUUUUAUAUGGGAUACAACAUUUGCAGUACUUCUGAACGCUGCAGGACAUCAAGUGUUUGAGCUCCCUCUCAGGACCAGCAAGUACAUUUGGAAGAGAUUUACAUCCACCUCAGCCACACUCACCAGCAGAUGUUCAAGAAUGCGAACCUGGAGAAUAAGUGGCUCAUAAACCUCCAAGGCCCAAAGUCAAACAAUGAGAGUUCAAAGUUGUCAACAUUGUCAUCAUUGCCUUGGCUUCAUGCAUUCUCAUCAUCAGCAGCAUCUACUGCAUCGCUGUCUGCUACUACCGCACCAGGCAGUCAAAGAGGGCCCAUAUUUAUGAGAGCGCAGUGAGCCGAGGUGAGCCAGCGGACCCCGUAGCGGUCCGAGCGGUGCGGAGGUCAACCAGUUUCAUCAACCCAAUGGCCUUCUUCAGGAGGGCAGACGCAGCUAAAGACAACUCCAGAAUCUACUACAUCUACAGCAACCCACUUCCUGUGGGGGCCAAGGAGGACGAAGAAGACCAAACCAGGCGAGCCGGGCUUUCGCUGCCACCGUCCAUCGAGGAGUACGCCGAGGACCCCCACAGCGGCAUCAUCCUGGACCCCCCCGUUUUUUACAUGCAACUUUAGAAGGUGGCGUUGGAAGUGGAAGUAGUCUGCGAUGGUGCUACAUUCCACCGCUGACGUGACGACGCAGUGAAAACGGUUUGUUUUUUUUGCGGCUCUGGAAGAACUUUGUGUGUGUCGUAAUGAUGUCAUCACCGUCAGCACGGCACAGCCGGAAAGCUGACAGAUUUAAAGUCUACAAACUUCGGAACACGUGUGGGUCUUGGGAAAGAUGCAUCAUGGGAAUUGUGGAAUUCUGCAAUUGUGUGUUUGAUUUUCAGUUGUGAUUUAGUCUUUGUCUGACAUCUACAAGUGCAAUCAUUACACGCUUGAUAGUUUACGCACGAUUCUUCUCAUGUGUUUCAUAUUUGGUGUGUAAUAUUGUUAUGGGAGUUGGAAGCAAAACUGUGCUGAAUGACAUCCAUUUUAUAUAUCGCUCAUCCUUAUUAGGGUGUUGUUGCAAUAUGAGUUUGAACACAGGAUAGCCAAAAUCUAUACCGGUCCUCAACAUUAAGUCAUCAUCAUCAUCAUCGGCGGUCACUCGAACGAGUAUGACGAUCCUCCUGGUAGGGGUGUAUCCCUUUAUGGAGGAUGCCUGUGCGUGACUUUGUUUUACGUGGGGAGACUGGUGCACAGACAGUCACCACACGAUCCUUGACAGAAUCGGGUCAGGGUCCAGUGGCGUGGAGUCCAAGACGACUGGGGACCCUUUUCUGCUGCAGCCUUCUUCCGCCAUCGCAGCCGUUGUGGUAGUUUUUAAAUGGACUGGACUCUCACACGAUUAUGUUAGAUCCACUAUGAACUGGACUCUCACUAUUAUGUUAGUUCCACUAUGGACUGGACUCUCACACUAUUAUGUUAGAUCCACUAUGGACAGGACUCUCACUAUUAUGUUAGAUCCACU